rnacentral:lncRNA from 1 species
CACCUGGCAUCGCAGUGGAAAACGUCAUCAUCCCCGCACUGUUGAGUGCCCCAGGCAUUUCCCAUGCCAACCUGUGCCAGGCUUGGGACACUUGGGUUCCACCCAGGCCUGGGCUGUCUCCCAAAUCUCAGGCUCUGCUGACCCUGGCUCAAGGGGCCUGUGUGUCCCAUCGAGACCCUGCCCACCCCCUCCCCCCCGGGAGGCCAAGCUGCUCACAGGAGCUCACAAGAGGUGCAGGGACUUGCAGGGUGAGCGGCAGCCGUGGGAAUCGUGGGAUUCGCUGGACCCCACAUCUGGCCUCUGUCCUACACACAUCACAGGUUACCUCACUGGGGGCCUUGGGCCUGUCUGUGUCUGUCAGUCCCAAACAGACUCCUCUUUGGGAUUUCAUGGUCAGGCCAGGUCAGCCUGGGGUGGACCCUUCCUACAGCGUUUCCCAUACCAGCCAAUGACCGGAGUCAGGGAGGGAAGGCAACAGAGUGGGUGCUACCUGAAGAUGGGGUGCUCUUGCUGAGGGGCAUCGGCUGAGAGGUUCCUGCCUCUGGGGUCUGUGCUGUGCCCCCACCGGGUGUGGCUGGUUGGUGGGAGGUGCUGUUUUCUGCACCCGGGGGCCCCCCGGGUGUGGACGAGGUUGGUGGCCUCAGAGUUGUGCCAGAGGGUGGAUGAGGGCCUGUGCCUCCCCCAGAGCUGGUCGUGGAGGGUCCCUGGGAGGGCUCAGGGGGUCUGGGGACCUCGGAAGUGGGGGGCUCCUGUUCGGAAACUUGUAUCUCAAUGACUGUGGUUGCGGUGCCAGAGGUCACCGUGUUGUGGGCCUCA